AAUAUAUAUCUUAUCACAAAAAAUGGAAUUAUUUAUAGAAUAUCAAAAUUUAAUAUUAAACUUAUUCAAUCAGCUAUUACAAAUGAAAUUGAUAUUAAUAAUAUAUUAAUAGAAUUGAUAGAAAAAAUUAAAUGUGUACAGUUAUUUAAAGGAUUUUCCUGUGAUGAAGUAAUAUAUGCUACUAUAAGUUUAAUAAAUAAAGAAAUAUCAAUAGCUA